rnacentral:rRNA from 1 species
UACGGGGGGGGCAAGCGUUGUUCGGAAUUACUGGGCGUAAAGGGCGUGCAGGCGGUCUGUUAAGUCUAGGGUGAAAGCUCCCGGCUCAACUGGGAGAGGUCCUUGGAUACUGGCGGACUUGAGGGAGGCAGAGGAGAAUAGAAUUCCCGGUGUAGUGGUGAUAUGCGUAGAUAUCGGGAGGAAUACCAGUGGCGAAGGCGGUUCUCUGGGCCUUACCUGACGCUGAGACGCGAAAGCGUGGGGAGCGAACCGG